rnacentral:rRNA from 1 species
AUUGAACGCUGGCGGCAUGCUUUACACAUGCAAGUCGAACGGUAACAGGCCGCAAGGUGCUGACGAGUGGCGAACGGGUGAGUAAUGCAUCGGAACGUGCCCAGUCGUGGGGGAUAACGCAGCGAAAGCUGUGCUAAUACCGCAUACGAUCUAUGGAUGAAAGCGGGGGACCGUAAGGCCUCGCGCGAUUGGAGCGGCCGAUGUCGGAUUAGGUAGUUGGUGGGGUAAAGGCUCACCAAGCCAACGAUCUGUAGCUGGUCUGAGAGGACGACCAGCCACACUGGGACUGAGACACGGCCCAGACUCCUACGGGAGGCAGCAGUGGGGAAUUUUGGACAAUGGGCGCAAGCCUGAUCCAGCAAUGCCGCGUGCAGGAAGAAGGCCUUCGGGUUGUAAACUGCUUUUGUACGGAGCGAAAAGGCUCUCUCUAAUACAGGGGGCUCAUGACGGUACCGUAAGAAUAAGCACCGGCUAACUACGUGCCAGCCGCCGCCGUAAGAC